rnacentral:rRNA from 1 species
GAGAGGCAUCUCUUAAAUAUCAAAGGUGAGCCAGUACAGGAUGGACCCGCGUCUGAUUAGUUAGUUGGUAAGGUAACGGCUUACCAAGGCGACGAUCAGUAGCCGACCUGAGAGGGUGAUCGGCCACAUUGGAACUGAGACACGGUCCAAACUCCUACGGGAGGCAGCAGUGGGGAAUAUUGCACAAUGGGCGAAAGCCUGAUGCAGCAACGCCGCGUGAGUGAUGAAGGCCUUCGGGUCGUAAAGCUCUGUCCUCAAGGAAGAUAAUGACGGUACUUGAGGAGGAAGCCCCGGCUAACUACGUGCCAGCAGCCGCGGUAAUACGUAGGGGGCUAGCGUUAUCCGGAUUUACUGGGCGGAAAGGGUGCGUAGG